rnacentral:rRNA from 1 species
UACGUAGGGUGCAAGCGUUGUCCGGAAUUAUUGGGCGUAAAGAGCUUGUAGGCGGUUUGCCGCGUCUGCUGUGAAAUUUCGGGGCUCAACCCCGAACUUGCAGUGGGUACGGGCAGACUAGAGUGUGGUAGGGGAGACUGGAAUUCCUGGUGUAGCGGUGAAAUGCGCAGAUAUCAGGAGGAACACCGAUGGCGAAGGCAGGUCUCUGGGCCAUAACUGACGCUGAGAAGCGAAAGCAUGGGGAGCGAACAGG